AAAAAUUUGCUUUCACAUCCAAACUUGAAGAACCUUUCAUAUAGAUUCUGUACGCGUCCCACUCUCUAAUUCCGUUGUAAAUGGCGAGAGCUCCCUUCAGUCUCAUACGCUGCAUGUCUCUGAAUCCGUUUCUUCAUAUAGUUCUAUAGAAGAAAAGGAUAUAAAAUCAUUUCAUUCAUCUCAAAAUUCAAAACCCAUCUCCUGAUAUUUCUCUAAAAUCCUUAAAAACCAUCUUCUCAAUCUUUGCUUUUAUGGCGGGAACUCCAUUGCUGGUGAGAAAGUUUUCAAAGCUUUGAGAUUCUGUGAUUCUUGUUCUUGUUUUUUGCAUUUGGGAUUUGUGUAUCUGUAAAUAUAAGAAUACAGAAUCUCUUCUUUUGAUUGUUUUCUUUCUUUUAUGGCGAACCCAUCUGAUACCCAUCAUCAAGAUGCCAAUCGUGCGCCCUCUUCUUCACUGGAGCAAACCCCACUAAAACAACAAGUCCUAUUCCAGGUUUGAGACAUGACCCUGGUAUCUCCACUGAAUGGAGCAAGGAAGAGCAAACAAGUCUUGAAGAUGGUUUAGUCAAUUGGUGGUGUUACAGGGAAGCUUCUCGAGCAAAAUGCCGAGGCCUUCUAUCAAAUAUCUGCUAAUCUUUCUACAAUGCAGCUACAGAAGAACAUCAGUCUCCUCUGCCGAGUAUGUUGGAACUUGUGCCUUUGAUGAUCUGACUGAGUUGCUGUCAAGCUUGGUCCUAUUUCUUCCCAAAUAGAAUUCGUCUGUCUCGUUUAUAUUUGCAGGUUGAAUGACAUGCCUGAUGUAAUGAAGCAGAUGCCACCAUUGCCAUUCAAGUUGAAUGAAAAGCUAGCUAACACCAUGCUUCCCUAUCGUCCGAAUCUUCCAAUGAAAUGAUCAUGACCCUUCUCAGUCAGAUCAUCCAGCCUCCGAUCAACUAAUCUGUAGACGAUGGAACAGCCACCACCGGCCGGUUGACCUAUGAUUUUGCUUUGGAAAUGGCGUGUAGUUCAUCAUGCUAUAGAUUUUAGUAUUUUGUUUUUGCUGCCUUCAAUUACAGUUUGCUUUGAAGAAAUGGUACAUUUCAUAUAGAAAGUUAUGAAAAGGAUAAAUAUUUUUU